GAUGAACGCUGGCGGCGUGCCUAAUACAUGCAAGUCGAGCGAACGGACGAGAAGCUUGCUUUUCUGAUGUUAGCGGCGGACGGGUGAGUAACACGUGGAUAACCUACCUAUAAGACUGGGAUAACUUCGGGAAACCGGAGCUAAUACCGGAUAAUAUUUUGAACCGCAUGGUUCAAAAGUGAAAGACGGUCUUGCUGUCACUUAUAGAUGGAUCCGCGCUGCAUUAGCUAGUUGGUAAGGUAACGGCUUACCAAGGCAACGAUGCAUAGCCGACCUGAGAGGGUGAUCGGCCACACUGGAACUGAGACACGGUCCAGACUCCUACGGGAGGCAGCAGUAGGGAAUCUUCCGCAAUGGGCGAAAGCCUGACGGAGCAACGCCGCGUGAGUGAUGAAGGUCUUCGGAUCGUAAAACUCUGUUAUUAGGGAAGAACAUAUGUGUAAGUAACUGUGCACAUCUUGACGGUACCUAAUCAGAAAGCCACGGCUAACUACGUC
rnacentral:rRNA from 1 species